rnacentral:rRNA from 1 species
UACGUGAGGGGGCAAGCGUUGUCCGGAUUUAUUGGGCGUAAAGCGCGCGUAGGCGGCCCGGUAAGUCCGCUGUAAAAGUCAAAGGCUCAACCUUUGAAUGUCAGUGGAUACUGCCGGGCUAGAGUCCGGGAAGAGGCGAGUGGGAACUCCUGGUGUAGCGGUGGAAUGCGCAGAUAUCAGGAGGAACACCGAUAGCGAAGGCAGCUCGCUGGGACGGUACUGACGCUGAGGCGCGAAAGCGUGGGGAGCGAACAGG